AAGUCGUAACAAGGUUUCCGUAGGUGAACCUGCGGAAGGAUCAUUAACACGUAUCCAACGUUAAAACCCCCGUGAACCUACAGCCCUAUUCUUGUGCGCCCGUUCGGACAGCAAUCCCUAGUAAAUCAUUGUUGAACAGAGUUUGCAUCCUGGUGCCUUUUAGACGGUUAUCGUGUGGAAGUGACGAUAACGUUACCGUGUGUCAGUGACGGUAACCUGUCAACGAGGUGACUCCGAAACACGUUUGCUAGAGGUCACACGACCGGCAACCGGGAUCCAGGCCGAAAGGUCCCUAACCACCCCUCGCAAGAAUUUAGCGUGCACCUAACGGUCGUACGCACCCCCAAACUGAACAACUGUUAACAAUGGAUAUCUUGGUUCUC
rnacentral:misc_RNA from 1 species